AUUGAAUGCUGGCGGCAGGCCUAACACAUGCAAGUCGAACGAGUGGCGGACGGGUGAGUAAUGUCUGGGAAACUGCCCGAUGGGGGGGGAUAACUACUGGAAACGGUAGCUAAUACCGCAUACCAUCGGAUGUGCCCAGAUGGGAGUAGCUAGUAGGUGGGGUAACGGCUCACCUAGGCGAAGAUCCCUAGCGUGUCUGAGAGGAUGAUCACGCACACUGGAACUGAGACACGGUCCAGACUCCUACGGGAGGCAGCAGUGGGGAAUAUUGCACAAUGGGCGCAAGCCUGAUGCAGCAAUGCCGCGUGUAUGAAGAAGGCCUUCGGGUUGUAAAGUACUUUCAGCGGGGAGGCGGUACUCGCAGAAGAAGCACCGGCUAACUCCGUGCCAGCAGCCGCGGUAAUAC
rnacentral:rRNA from 1 species